GGAGGAACCUCUGGAGAGAACCGUUCAAUCGGUCGCCGAAGGAGCAAGCCGUGUGCAAACAGGGUGAAACUCUCAGGCAAAAGGACAGAGGAGUGGAA
rnacentral:ncRNA from 2 species